AUGCCUCGUUCAUUAUCUGCUUCCGACAACGCCGAUAAUAGGAAACAGGUACGAUUUAGGAGGGAAUCCGACUCAAUUGGAUGUGAAGCUCGUCUACGUCAAGAACAAACCCUCGAAGGUUUUGAAAGUUUAUGGAUUGAAGGCGACAAUUUGGUUAGUCUGUUGUGUUUAUGUGAUGAGGUUGUUGCAGAGGUUUUACUGGUGAAACAGGGAGUUAUGACAUAA